UUCUUUAAUAUAUGGUUGGUAUAUUUUUUAAUACAUGGUUGAUACAUUUUCAAGUACAUUUCCAACACACAAAUUUAUGUUCGAUAUCUCUCUACGAAGCUUUACUCGUGAAAGCAAUAUUAUUUAAUCACGCUUUGCCCUUUCUUAAAUGUUCAAGAGGUAUAAAUACCCUUGUGAUAAAUGAUUCUCAUCGCUGACAUUUCGUCCGCAUAGCGAUGCGCGCGAGAUACGACUCCGUGCCGAUGUGCUGAUCAGCUGAUCAGACAUGCUUCUAUUCGAAAACUCGAGGCAGAAUUUGCAGCUUAUUGUUUUACGUCGCGAUACAUGAGCUUCCUGUAAGGAUCAGCGCCUGUGACAAUUAUUGACGGAGGCUGAUCACCUCGAGUAUUGUGCAAAAAUGACACAAGAACUGUCCGGUGUAACAAUAGUGAUAUUUAUAGCGGCGGGCGUUUUGACGAUACUGCUGCUGUUCAUCUUCGCGAAACGACAGAUCAUGAGAUUCGCUCUGAGAUCUCGUCGAGGACCCCACGUUCCUAUAGGGCACGAUGCGAAAAAGUCCUUAAAGAAGGAGAUUGAGAGAAGAAUAGAGGUGAUACCUAGAAUUCAGUAUGAACCACAACUCAUCAGUGAUCCUAGGUACAUCCUGACUCCAGGGAGUCAAGCUCCGCCGCAUUAUUACAGGCUGAAAGCGGUGGACGAUGUGAAGACCUUGGAAGCAGAGAUCACCAAGUACGACAAUUGUCUGAAGAGACAUCCUUCGGAGAACCUGAGGGCAUACCUGCUCACCACACUGGCCACUCCGUUGAACGGAAGUGGCCAACGCCUGAUUCACCAGUUCUGCGACUUGUACGAGCACGCAAGGCACGAUCCUACUGAGUUCGGUGACGAGGAAUAUCAAGUGUACACUCGCCUGUAUCUGAAGUUGAUGGAUGCGGCACGUUUACUGAAGUCAUAUCCGAGCAGUAGAAAGUCCAGCCCUAGUCGCACGCCGAUCAAGAAAAGCGUGGAGACAAAGAGAAAUAUUCUGGAACCCAGAAUGCGUCCGCCCGAGGAACAAAUUUUGACCGGUUCCAGGCCGAAUACUCUAACGGUAAUGACGUUAGACAACAGCGAGACGUCCGUGUAGCAUUAUGAGUGUCGUCACAUACAACAUAUGUGACGAGGAAAUUGUAGAUAGCUGGCGAAAGAGAAAGAUAAAUUUCCAAAUACCUGACGAGUUAUGGAUUUCCAGAUCUGUCUGUCGAUAAGCAUAGAAAUCGCUUGUGGGAACAAUCUGAUUCUAAUAUCUUGCGAAGUAAUCAGCAGUUCUUUUUUCGGUAGCAGACAGUCCAUGCCGGACAGACAGAUAACUAAAACGAA
rnacentral:misc_RNA from 1 species